rnacentral:rRNA from 1 species
AUCAACGCUGGCGGCGUGCCUCAGACAUGCAAGUCGAACGAUUAAGACUCCCUUCGGGGAGUGUAUAAAGUGGCGCACGGGUGAGUAACACGUAAGUAAUCUACCUUCGAGUGGGGAAUAACAGUCGGAAACGGCUGCUAAUACCGCAUAAUGCAGCGGCAUCGAAAGAUGACAGUUGUUAAAGGAGCAAUUCGCUUGAAGAGGAGCUUGCGGCAGAUUAGCUAGUUGGUAAGGUAAUGGCUUACCAAGGCUACGAUCUGUAUCCGGUCUAAGAGGACGGUCGGACACACUGACACUGAAUAACGGGUCAGACUCCUACGGGAGGCAGCAGUCGGGAAUUUUGGGCAAUGGGCGAAAGCCUGACCCAGCAACGCCGCGUGAAGGAUGAAGUUUUUCGGAAUGUAAACUUCGAAAGAAUGGGAAGAAUAAAUGACGGUACCAUUUAUAAGGUCCGGCUAACUACGUGCCAGCAGCCGCGGUAAUACGUAGGGACCAAGCGUUGUUCGGAUUUACUGGGCGUAAAGGGCGCGUAGGCGGCAAUUCAAGUCAGCUGUGAAAUCUCCGGGCUUAACUCGGAACGGUCAGCUGAUACUGCUUUGCUAGAGUGCGGAAGGGGCAAUCGGAAUUCUCGGUGUAGCGGUGAAAUGCGUAGAUAUCGAGAGGAACACCUGAGGUGAAGACGGGUUGCUGGGCCGACACUGACGCUGAGGCGCGAAAGCCAGGGUAGCAAACGGGAUUAGAUACCCCGGUAGUCCUGGCCCUAAACGAUGAAUACUUGGUGUCUGGAGUCAUUAUUGCUCCGGGUGCCGUCGCUAACGUUUUAAGUAUUCCGCCUGGGGAGUGCGCACGCAAGUGUGAAACUCAAAGGAAUUGACGGGGACCCGCACAAGCGGUGGAGCAUGUGGUUUAAUUCGGCGCAACGCGAAGAACCUUACCUGGGCUCGAAGUGGGGCGGAAGAGGGCUGAGAGGCCCUUCUCCCUUCGGGGACUGCCCCAGAGGUGCUGCAUGGCUGUCGUCAGCUCGUGUCAUGAGAUGUUGGGUUAAGUCCCGCAACGAGCGCAACCCUUGUCCUUAGUUGCUAACGGGAAAGCCGAGCACCCUAAGGAAACUGUCGGCGAUAAGCCGGAGGAAGGCGGGGAUGACGUCGAGUCCUCAUGGCCUUUAUGUCCAGGGCUACACACGUGCUACAAUGGGCGCCACAAAGGGCCGCAAACCUGCAAAGGGGAGCCAAUCCCAGAAAAGCGCCCUCAGUUCGGAUUGGAGUCUGCAACCCGACUCCAUGAAGCUGGAAUCGCUAGUAAUCGCGGAUCAGCAUGCCGCGGUGAAUACGUUCCCGGGCCUUGUACACACCGCCCGUCACAUCAUGAAAGCCGGCUGUACUAGAAGUCCCCGCGCCGACCCUUCCGGGGGGCAGGGGCCCAAGGUAUGGCGGGUGAUUGGGGUG